CUGGUUUCCACUUCAAUUCGUAGACCGAUUCAUUUCAUUCCCUACUCUGACCUGGGCGGGGGUUCUUUUACUACUCUCAUUGGCAACUCUGAUGCUUACUACUAUAUUAGUUUAUUACUAGAUACGCUAGAUGCACUGGAUCAUACCAUGCCCUAUUCUACUUAUUGACCCUUUUCUUCAGAUUUGUUAUUUACGAGCUUGAUCUGACCUCUAACCUUAUAGUAUAGACAAACAUGGGCUCUAUUACAGUAAUUCAAUUCAUAUUUGUGGUAUCAAAACUAUAUCCCGAAUCGCGCCCUUACUCACCCAAAGAAAAGAAAGAGACUAAUUCCGUAUUGGACCCCCGAAUUGAAAUACAGAAGAGCACUUGUUAGUAAAAGAAUAGAAGCAGUAAACAUGUCUCGCGUAGGUAGGUAUGUUUGCUCCGGUGUUCGUUUAGUCCAAUCUUUCUUUGUUUCCUAUAUCCACCAAGUCACUACGGGAUAAGUCUGACUAUUCUUUUUCUCUCAUUAUUGGAUACCAGGGGUGAGCUCUAAGACUAAUAGCAUAUAUAUAGGGUAUGCGACUAAUAGGAAUACUCAAAGGGUCGGGUAGGGACACAUAGGGAAUACGACUACUACUAUUUUCACUAUACUCCUAUUGGAAUCAAACUAAGUGGUCAAAGAGUGAGGUGGACAAGCGUGAAUGAGAGAAAGGAGAGGCAGACCAAUCUACUAAUACGGAACGAAAGGUAUGAUAGGCAGGCUCACAGCUAGUAAGGCAAGGUUCGACCCUAGUAGUUUCAGUUUAGGCAGACUGAUGGCAGGCUAGUGAGAAUCGAAUCAAGUUUAGUAAUACUUGUUUCAAGCAAGGAAGAUAAGACUCUGUUUGUGGAUAGGUAGACAAUAAUAUAGCUAGUCAAGAUUCGGAUCAGUACAAAAAUGAGUGAUGUGUUUGCUUCUUAGAGGUAUGGUGUCUGGUUUGAAAGCAAAGAAGUAAGGGCUGGGAUGUGCCAUUGAUCUACUUAUUCGUAUAAAAGAACUCAUUUCUGGUUUUCGGUGUUCGUAUUCCCAAGUGAGUUAAGGCCUAGCCUAGUUAAGUCUUGUCGGUAUUCCAUGAUCUAUUGUAAGGUAAUAGCUGGGGUUGAUCAAUCAAUGGGUGUGUUUUGAAGAGUCAAUAGUAAAGGACAAUAGCAAAGGAAUAGCAAGCAUGUGUUACGUCUUUGGAUAAGUAAGAAAGGAAUAGCAUGUGUUACGCAAUGCGAAAGUGGAGGGUUUCUAUGACAAGUAAUAAUUCAAAGGUAGGCAGUGAAUCCAUGUGUUAAUACGCCUAUAGAAAUCUGGAGUCAAUAUAUGGGUUUGAUAUAAUAACAUAAGAAUGAGUUUUGAAACAACAAAUCGGAAUUCAAAGUGUGGUGUGAUCGAUAGAGUUAAAGACAGAAGUCAUAAUUCUACUAAUAAGUUUCGAAAUCCACUCUAAUGUAAUAAGUAGGAAAUCAACUCUAAUGUAAUAAGUAGGAAAUCAACUCAAAAGUAAGGAUCCCUGUCUCGAACUACAAGACAACUAGGCUUAUAAGCAUAAUCCCACUCCAAAGCCAGAAUCCAACUAAGUAGUGGAAGUGGCGGUAAGUACUCCCUCUCGGCUAAGGAAAGUCAGAAUGGAGCUCUCUAUAGGAAAUGAAACCAACAAAAGCAAGAAUGAGUAGUUUAGGUACGAGGAAAGAAUUGCACUUUCCAGUCUGGGUAGGCGGGCUAUAAUACUAAGACAUCGCCCACAGAGUUCGAAUUGGACUUUUUUGUUAGUUGGAUUCUAUUCUCUCUUCCUGUCCUGGUGUAGGCGUCUGGCCCGGUCCUUCUUCUGGUUGAACCACAGGUGAAUCUCAGAAUUCUGUUUGCUUGAAUUAAUACCCCAAAAAGCAUAGAAAAGAAAAGAUAAUAACAAUAGGUGUUUUGUCGAGCAAGGAAAGCAAUACUGAAGUUUGAUCCAAUAGAAUAGGUUGUUGGUGUACCGGGGAAGCCUAUCUCGUGUUAGGGAACCUACUCAGUAAAGAAUGCGGGUGGAGCAUACAAAAAUGCAAGACAUGGGAUAUAUCGGAUAGUAAGCAAAGAAAGAGUGAUGUUGUACGCCACAAGAGCUAUCAAGAAAACAGAAUCACUAUUGUCAUUGAUAUUACAAAUAAGAAUCAAAGAAAGCAAUUGAAGAAGCGAACCCAACUAUCAAACUCAAUAAAAGAAUACAGAGUUGCGCUGGUAACUAGAAGAUUGUGAACUAAUGCUUCUAGGGUUCCUAACACUGCCAGCAGGACUCACCCUACGGAUCCGGAUCUUUGCCUUAUUGCCUAUGAGCCCCACUUUUCCUGGGGUUAGUCUUACAUUACUCGAUUCAGGCUUAAUCAAACUCUUAUAUAAUUCUAACCACUUAUGGAACUAUUGAUUCUAUACCUCUUUGCUUUGGUUCUGUAGCUGCUGCCACUGAUUCGUAUGUUAUGUUAGAUUGAGUCCACCUUUAUGCCAAUUAUGAACUGUCUAAAUCUCACUUUAUGCAAUUAUGAACGGAACUAGACUUCCCUAUAGAAUGAGGGAUUCCACCACCCCUGUGAAAGAAUGAAACAAUAAAGCAAGUACCUGUUGCUGAAGACAAACUAUAGUAGUGAUAUCUGAGUUGAAGACCUGAGCUCGAACGUAACUGACUUUCUGAACCAACAACACAAACGGAAUCGCCAACUAAGAGAUCCACUUCGUUGCUGACUCUUGCUGCUGAUGGACUUUACCCUAUGGAUGGAAUCUUGAUCCUAUCCGCUUCUACUGCUUAACCUUAUCUGAGAAUGAGUCAUAUGUUUCUUAUACCUUGUUGCUAAGUAGACUGAGUUAAGGUUAUUACCAAUAAGUAAGUCGCCGAGAAGAAAGAGUGGAACUGGCCUUUCUUAUAAGUUGGAAACCCUAUUCUUCUUUUGAACUCCCCCUCGCUACUUUAUCUAUCUUACAUUGAAUUGGAAGACAGAGAGGCACCGCGUAAACCCACCGAGGACAGAGAGGCACUGCUAAAAACACUAUUGACUUGAUUUUCUUAGAAAAGAGAAGAUGGGAAGCCCUACCGCCCUAAAGUAUGUAUCUAAACUAGUAGCCACCAAGCACCAUUACUUUCUUCCUAGUGCCAAAAGAGAAGUAAGCGCUGACAAGCUAGUAGAUUCAAUUGGAAUAGGCCACUAUCCCCUUCACCCAGCUUCCGUGAGUUACCUGACCUGAUUCUAUCAUACCUAGGCGGGGGACAAGCAGAGAUGCAAGCGAGUGCAAUUCCUUAUUAGUUGCUAUAUAGGUGUAAUAGAGUCAAAUCAUAGAAUUUAGCUAACUUCUUUUCCUUUCGCGGCUAAGUGAGCUUUGAAGGAGUAAGCAGAACAAGCGCUUAUGGAACAAAGUAGGAAGUACACACCGAAGAAGGACAGAAACAGAGACCAGGAUCCGGGUUCGUGUGUUGGUGCCGAGAAGCAUAAGCCAUAUCAGGUCUUUGUCUUUUACGUAGUUACUUGGCAGGAUGUUUAAACGGUUUUUUGGAGCUAAAACGAGUGCUUUUGAAACUAAUCUCUUUAGGAAAGAUAGUGUUACGCGUCAGUAAGGAUCAGAGGGAUCAAUACAAAGAAAGGGAAUGAAUCUAGUACUGGCAAGGCAGCAGCUAACAAUAAGGAACUCAACUAGCAAAGGCAGGACUGAACCCACUGACUAAGCAUAGGUACGGGAUAGCGCAUACUGAAAUGAGUCCAUUAGUACAAGAAUAGCAGUCAGCUGUAACAGUAUCCGGAUCAGCAGUUAGAGAGCUUUGAAGUCGACGGUGCAAGCCUUGGCUCCGAGUGGAUUUCUCGCUUUUGCCCGUUUGUUAGUGAAUCUGCUUGUCGAGAGAGACUCUGAUGCUUAUGUACUAUUAUGAGUCUGUUACCGCGUGUUGAUGCGCUAUCCUCUUAUUGCUACGAAAGAUAUAGAUUGGAUAUUACAAAUAAGAAUAAGGUAUGAUGUAAUAAAGGAUAUACUAAAAAACAAUAGGUAUGGGAAGUUGGAGUCAAUAGCCUAUAGGAUGUUAUUGAUCCAGUGCAUAUAGUAUAGAAAUUGAUAAUAUGGGUAUGAUCUAGCACAUAGUAGGGAGAUAGAAACAAACCGCUCAUAACAAGAAUCAAACAAGUACUUAGGAGAAUCAGAUACUGCCUAACGAACUAAGCUACCGGGACCCUAACACUCGAAAUAGGGAAUAAAGCCAUAUUACUUAUUAGAAUGAAUCCAAAGGAAACAGGCCUUCGCUACUGCCACCCGUCAAUUACCCAUCGUCAAUUCCCCAUCUUCGUAAAUUACCCAUCGCUGCUGACGCUGCCCUUGCUUGCUGGGUUCAGUCUACUACUUAUUUUCUUUGUCUACUUUCCCUUAUAUACAAGCAGCUUGUCUGUUUUCUUACUAGGUUCUACUACUGGUCCGGAUCUUAAAGCAAGAUAAAGAAAUGGAACUCUAUGUACACAGAGCUAGAGCAGAACAAUCAAUUGCAGUUUACGACUUGGACUGGACCACUACACUACUCGGUAAAGCCAAGCACAUAAGGUAAAGCAAGCCACUCUACGACGAAAAGAAAGAGACCCCCGUCGACAAGAAAGGUAAACCAUCUAUCCCGUCCUCGGCAAGUGCAGGUGCUUUUCUUUUUGCUAUCCAAUAUCUCUUUCUCUCGUGCGCAUAUCUAAUAGGUAGGAAUGGAACUCUUAGGUUGGAAUUGCACUCUCUUGCGCGGAGCUCUUCUCCGUAAGCCGAGAAAACUGUCCUGUAUUAAGUGAAGUCAACAACGGAUUUCGUCUCUUCUAAGCCAACUCAUUAACUUAGGGCUUCAAAGCAAGUAGAAAAGUAUGAGGGGUCCUAAAAGGGAUCCACCAAUGGGAUAAGCCAAACCUAAUACUUGUUGGUGUAGCAGUGAAAUUAGGGGCAUCAUAUCUUAUUGUUGAAGCGCGUCGUGAAUCAGUAUCCGAUCAGGGUUUUGGCUCUAGUACUGUCCUGUUUUCACUGGCUUAAGUCACUAACUACGGAACAGGCUUUUGUCGCACCCCACUUCUGGCUUUUGUAGUAUACGCUUGGCUUACUUGGUUAUAACGCUGACUUAACCUAUACGCGGACUUUCACCUAUGAUUCUAUAAGUCAAAUAAGGAUCGAGUCAAAAUAGCCCACGGAGCUCCUCGUUGCUUGUUCAUUAGACAUUGCUUGUUAGGUAAAGUACCCGCACAGAUGCAGAUGCAUACGAAGAGGAAGGAGGUGUCCAUUGCUUUAAGACGUAGGUUGAGAACACUAAUUGAUCCAUGGUUAAAGGAAGUGCGUGCUAGAGUAGAGAGCUUGCUUGCUUUACGAGACAUAGAUUACCCAUACAUAUAUGAACUAUCAAAUCUGUAUAUCAUAGCUAUUCUAUAUAUGAAUAAAUCAGUAUCAUAGGUGACCCAUUCUAUAUGAACUAUCAAAUCUGUAUAACCCAAGUCUAUGUAUUGGCUAAUAAUACCACUUGAAGACUUAUAUUUCGGUUCUCAUGAACUGUUGUAAGUAGAUAGAGAUCGCUAUUCAAUAGAAGGAUCUCCUGAUGUAAAGAAUAGGGGCAUUCAUAACUAGUUGUUUGUUAUGCUAACGGGAAUUACUUAUAAGGGAAUGGGGUCGAAGGGAUUGAGAGCCCUAUAGAAAGCCUAGAGCUGUUAAUGCUAGCAGUAGCCUAAUCAGCCAGCCCUCACUGGACUUAGACGAGCAUGCCUAAUUCCGUAUUCAUAGUCAUGACCCCUAAAGAGUGAGUGGAGUGUCCAGCCCUUUAAGAGUGAGUGGAGUGUCCAGUUGGAUUGACAGAACUAGACCCACCUGUAUUUAGAAAGCAAAAGGACCGACCCCCUUUCAAAGGUUCUCCUUUUUUGUUUAUUACUGCAUCGCUCCCGCCGUCGAUUAAUCUCUCCAAUUGCUUUCUCUGUGCCUUAUAAUAACACUUCUAAAGUAAUGGGAAUUGUACAACUUUCUAAAGUCAUGGGAAUUGGAACUCAAAUAAGAAAUUCAUGCUAGUCAGGCUUAGCUUUUGUUCUAGCGCCCCUAUUUGGAAUUAGGUCAAACGCAAAGCUUCUUUGUUGGCGGUUGGAUCCGGGUCCCCUAGGGCAGACUUGAGAUUCGAUCUAGAUAUGGAAUGAAAAGCUGCUUCUUCAAAGAAAGAGUAUAUCCAAACUAAUGGAAUGAAAAGCUGCUUCCUCAAAGAAAGAGGUCUAUAUCAAACGAAUGGAAUGAUCUUACUCCCACGGGGAAGCAACAUCGAGCGAUCGCUCAAGUUGGAUAGAAAUCUAGAAGUAUCCGGGAGACACCGGCAACGAAUCAUUUUCUUUAUUGACUUUCUUUUAAAGAUUAGUGAAAGUUCCUCUUGAAUCCAAUUCGUGAGAAGAGGCCCAGCGAGAGACAAGCAUAAGUAAGUAAUUGCCUGCUUCCCAAUCGAAAACAUCCUUCUGUACAUAUCGUAAGUGACUGUUGCCGGGCCAUAUGAACUGUAAAGGCAGGCUAGUUCUUCCUUCUUUCUAGUUGAUUGCGCUAAUAGUUGAUCUUGAGGCAGUCGGAGCCUAUAAAUUGGAUCAAAAAAGGGUGGAUUACAGCUCUUAUCUAGAGUGGAAUAAUGUUGGUUCAGAAAGAGAGAAAAGAAGAACUUAGCAAAUAAAUACUUGUGAGCAUCUUGGACUGUGUGAGGAAAGGAAACUGUCUGGAACGAUACUGGAAUAUGGAACUAUACUAGUAGACUAAACAAGAACUGCGGAUUCUGAUGCUACUGUUCUGAAAUACCCAUAUCUUUAUUGAACGAUUGGCGAAUGAGAAGAACUCGUGUAAGCUUUAAACUCUGUCAGCUCGGAAGAUUGGUGAAUAAGUAAAGUAGACUUUGCUCAUAUUUCCUUAUUCCGUUUCAGGGAUGCUGGAUGCUGUGUCUUUAAUAGAUUAAGUAAUCUUAAGGAGCUCUCUCUUUCAAAACUCCAAUUUGCUAGGUUUUGCCAUAAGGGGAGCUCACAAAAUCAUCAAUUUCUAGUGAAAAAACUUGCAUUUCCCUCGUAAGUGCAUUUUGCUAGGUUUUGCCAUAAGGGGAGCUCACAAAAGUCAUAUUUUGAGGCCUUCCAACUGUCAUUUCCCUCGUAACAAUCAUUUUGCUACUUUUUGCAUAUAUAUGGAGCUGUAACUUCCAAUCAUAUGUACUAUCUUAUUACCUUUCCCUCUUAUUCCCUUAACCCCGACUCUUUUCCUUCGCUUAUGGGGCUUAUAGGCUUGAGUUGACCCGACAAGCAACUAUGACUUAUUAGAAUCCGAUGAUCGGUACCCUAAUUAGAAUUCCAUACCGGCACCAGAGUAAGCUAGAUACUGGACCUCCAAUCGGCUCUGGCUACUUAGUUCCAUAUUCUUUACAUUUUCCAGUGAAUUGGAUUUGGAAGUUCUAUUUAAAUGAAUGAGUUGCGCGUAGGGAGUUAUGUGAGUUCAUGUCUUCGUCAGCUAAUGCGAGUGACUAUAGCGUUAGGAGCUGCCGCUACGUGGGCUUCCAUCUACAAUAACUGCACUGCUUCCAUAUAGGACUAGACUGAUUGCUAUAGGGCAUAAGCCGCCUGUCCGUACUUUUCUUCUUCUCCUCAUACAACUACCCAGUGGUUUUUUCAUCGUCUCCUCAUACAACUACCCAGUGGUUUUCAAAUAAGAUGUAGCCUUUUUUUGAUCUUCAUAUGCCUCAGUAAUACAUUGACUACAUCCGUCCCAAUGUGAACUCACUUUUACCUAGUACUUUGUCUAUUAGUCUUAUUAAGAAGAAUUGCCAUAUGUCCUGUCAAUUCCAUAGUUUCUGGCUUCCCGGCUUUACUUCUUUGACGGAAGGAACACAUUCUGACUUUCAGUUUCAAGAUGCAAAGUACAGAAUAUCAUAAGUCAAGCAGUUUCUAAAGAAAAGAUCGAUGCCAGCUCCGCUUCCUUCUCACAUUUUAUGGGUAGGGCACUUCGGGAGCACGUUCUUCAAAUUGAAAGCAAGAAAGACCAAUGUCAUUCGCGCGCUUACUUGACUUCCUAUUCUGGUCGAGUGUAGCCGGAAAGGUCAUAUUAGUAUACUCUUUCUUUCUUUUUUCUUUGCUAUCUACGAACGUCAAAAGAUGUGAAUGUGAUGUGGUAUCUUACUUAUCAACGUCUUAGAGAUUAGGGAUCUUAUUCCAAUUCCAAUUCAAAGCCAGCCUACCCGCUAUGAAAUCAGUAGAAGGAACACAGCCGAUUCGGAAACAUUCUCUGAUUCCUAUACAACAUAUGGUGGAGCAAAAGAAACCGACUCAGCAACAAAGACAAGUAGUAGCAUACUAUGUAUCUUUCUUCAUAGGAUUAGGAGAUAUAAUAUGAUCGAGCAACAAAAACGGGUUCCGCGGUUAUAGUGUUACUAUCUUAUUGUUCAAGAAGAGAUUACUGAUUGGAGACAUCAACCGAUGAGGAGACAACCUGGAGAGUAGGGAGCAGGUCAGACACUAACUCGUCUUUGAAGUCCGCCCCGUUGGCACUGGCUUUUAGUUCCGGAAGUAAGGAAGGCUUUACCCGCGUAUCAUUCCUUCUCUCUUGCGAGCCAGUCCGUCCUUCUCUAUUUGAUUCUUUGGGGGCUACGAAUUUCUUGUUCUUUUCUAAGUUAUAAGGCCUGAAGUCAGCCAUAGGUAAUCUCUCAGUAAGUCAAAAAGGAAAGAUUUCCCCCCCUAGCUCAAAACAGAGUUUCAGGAAAGCCUUAACCUUGAUAUUGAAAUUCCAUUCCCUACCAGUCCUAAGAAAAUGACUUAUACCUGUCUGCAAACGGAAAUGAAGGUUUCGUCUAGCCUUGCAAUAAGAUCGAAUCCUGUAGUUGACUUCUUUCCUUGCCAGUGUAAGUCGCAGGCCUCUAAACAUCCGGUUGCAUACGAGGUUUUCGUGUGGGUAAGGUAAUCUCAUAGUUUAAAGGGAGUUAGCCCUUAGGCUAAAAGCAAUCAGUCCAGAGUAAUAGUUCAUAGGCGGAUCGAAGGAUAAAGAUGGAAAGUAAUGGAUUGGAUGCCCAGCUUGAUUAGAAUCAUAAACUCUAACUCUCUGGUUUGGAAUUAAGCUUUAUAGAAGAGUUGUCUUAUCUCCUCUCCCGACUAACUAAGCGCUUUCAGUCAAUUCAGUCAAGUCUGGAGGCAUUGGCAGAGUUCAAGUUGACUUGCUUUAUUCAGUCAGUCUUAAGAUCAGAUCAUUGGGGAUAGCAGGAAUCUUUCUUUCUAUUUGGAAGGAAGAAGUUUACAUUCUUUUAUAUCUUAGAAGAGUCAGCAUUCCCUCCAUUUUAUAUCUUAGAAGAGUCAGCAUUCCCUCUAUAACUAUCAGUUGGUCCGAUAGGAGCUAUAGACUAUAGUUAGUGCCUUUACCUCCAUAAACCCUAACACUAUAGUAAGGUCUAGAAGGCCAAAUGAGGGUUCUUUUCUGUAUAUAUAUUCUAUUACAUAAGCUUUAUAUAUAUUCUAUUACAUAAGCCCUAAAGUAGGUAGCCCCGAAAGGCGAAGUCAGCAACUUGUCAAGAUGCUCUCCCGCAUAUAGGAGUGAACCAUUUCGUUUUUCUAGAUGCGAAGACAGACUAGCUAUCUUUCCCCACGGGGCGGUUCGGUAUGAAGGUUAGUAGGGAAGAACUCCGUCAUUGUCUGUAAUAGAAUAUGGGGAUAGAGAAUGGAUGAAUAAGUCCCCAAGGGAAUUCGAUUAUCAUUAUCUUUAUACAAUAUCUUUCCUUUGCUUACUCUCUUUCCUUCUUUCCUUCUUUCUAGCUUUACUUGGAUAACUUUCCUUCUUUCUAGCUUUACUUGGAUAAUGAGAUUACGGUUGUUGGCUUACUCUUAUAGGACAGGUAGUUUACUUACUCUUAUAGGACAGGUAGUUUACUACUGGAUCUUCGGACUCUUCUUAGUCAUCAGAGGAUGCAACAUAAAUAGCUAUGAGACUCGUAGAAAUAAGAAGGAUAUAAAGAGGUUUUCUUCUAGUCCUUCUUGAGAGGUAAUAGUGCUUACUUUCACUUUCCUGGGAGCUUAUUAAGGCAAGGAAAAGGAAGGAGCUGAGCUGCUCGAGUAUUCAAGGUAUCCCAAUAGGAAGGGCUGGUGCACGUGAAUAAGAACUAGCCAUUUCUUAGUCACCGGAAGUGCAAUCCUAUAUAUCGUAAUCGGCUGGGCUACUUUACCAAGGAAUCCGAAUUGGAUUCAUGCAUCGAAGCGGGUCGGGUAUUUUCUAACUAAUGCCACAUCUUAUCUGCUAAUGGAAUCUUCUAUUAUCCCAUUUUCCUCGUUAAGGUGAAUCAGCCAUUUUUUCUCCAUGUCAAGGAUGGCAUCGAAUCAGCCAGCAGUUAGCCUUACUUCAUCCACCUAAAGAAGACAGAGUUAAGGAACCGAGAUCACUGCCUCACACCACUGGCAUUGAAGAGGAGAUGUGCCAAGAAUACAAUAGCAACAGACAGAGCAGAUAUUCUUUCUUGCGCUAAGAUCCGAAUCAUACCGUAGCUGGCAUUGGAGUAAGCCUAUUUUCUAGUAGCUCGAUUCUUACAGUUAUCGGGUAAUGGGUUUCAUUCCUUAUGUCGAGGUUUAGUCCGAGAUGCUUGUUCUUAGUUCCGAGUUGCUUGUUUCAUUAUUAUAAGCAUUAGUAACAUUCUAAUAUAGUCGCCCGGGUUCCGAGUAGUUUGUUUCAUUGUUAUAUGUGCUAGAUCUAUGCCUGAUUAUAUUAUUACAAGUUAUGCUUUUGGGACUGAAAGCAAGGAGCGAGAGGCUUGCUUUAAGAACUAACCAAGGCUUGGACAAUCACAUUCCAUUAUGUAUUUGUUGACUCCGCCUUGUAACAAUGAGGGACAUUAUGAAUUAAUGGAUUGGAUUCCGUAACAGACAAGCAAGAUAUAGGCCCGGCAGAGGGAGACUUAUAGGCAUGGAAGGCAUACGCGAAGUGAGCCUAGGAGCGAGGUCGAGAUACUUUUUCUCAAGAACGGAAACCCCAGCAAACAAUAACCUAGCUCGAAACUCAUUCUUUACCUAAUGAUCCAUAUCUUGACUCUAUUGCCUAUGAACCCUGCCUUACCUACUACUAUAGAAAGGAUUGAACUUGAAAUACAUAAGUGAACUAACUAGUGUGAGUACUACUUUCCUGACUAUUAGGCUGACUUUCCUUGUUUGAGGCCUGGCGCUACUGUUUCCAAUACUUUCACCCAUAAUAGAGAAUUGCACAAGUGCUUCUAAUAUAUAUGAAAACUGUAAACCGGGAAUAGAACCUACGCUUUCAAACUAGCACCGCUACUAACCAAUACCUGUUCUCAUAACUAUAGAGAGCCGGAUCACUACUGCUUCUCGGAAGGAACCUAGGAAUACGGGAUAUGCGUAGUGAGUAUCACUUACUAUAUGCCCUAAUGGACUAACUAGGAAUCAGGCGACUAUCUCUAACUCUAAGACGAUAACUCGAAACUAGUUCCCAUCAGGUAAGAAUGCGGCUACUCCUUAUAAUCAUUAAGCUGGGAAUACAGAAUACAGGUAUUUGCCUACAAGACCUUAACUAUUUACCCCGAAGCUGUCCCCUUUGACUCCAACUCACACUAUCUUGUCUCCAACUCUUCUGCUCCUUUAUCUAAUCCGAGCUUGUUAGCUUUAGUAUGCCAUGUCCUUAAUGAGACUAAUUCCUAUUCCAUUGUUUUAGUCCACCUCUACUGCCUUAAUUCCCUUAGUUUGUUAUUUCAUUUCCUAUGUUUGAGUGUGAUUCUACUUCUCCUCGGGUUCAGCAUGACUUUCUCGGCUAUUAGGCUUAUACCGUAAUAAUAAGAAUCAAGAUGACCAAUAAGGAUUGAACCAAUGUAAACAAGAGAACAACCACUAAUGCAAGGAUUUUGACUCAAAAGAGAGAAUCGAACCCUGGCUUUUCACUAUUAACUAAAAGAAUGGAACUUGUGCUUUUAAGCCGGGAUCUCGUUCCCAGUAUUACAGAAUGAAAAGUAAGGUAGUAAGAGGGUAGCCAGACUAUAGGCAAUGGAAGUGAGCUUUGAAGUAAGUAAAGCAAAGACCCGGGGAUCAGUAGUUAAGGUAUUCGAAAGGCUAGUUGGGUUCUCGCCAGCAGUGAUUUCCGUCUUGGAAGCAUUAGUGAAAGAGUAGACGUAAGGGUUGUAAUUCCUUACCGUAAGAUUCAGUAUGAAAAGCACGCCGGUUGAGUUUAAAGUAAAGCAAGUAAGCAGCAUGGACAGGAAAGUAAGAAUGCUAUAGGGGCAGUUCAGUUUGCACCACAGAGAUAAGGAAUAAGAGAGAGGGAACUGAGCCUUUGAGAAAGUAGUUACAGAUCGAAAGCAAGGAUAGCUUACCCGUUUUUGUCUUCUAGUUAUGUGUUCAAUUCUGCUAGGAGUAGUUCGAUUCCUCGUUUUUAGGAGAGGUCUUAGAAGCACCAGUUUCUUUCUUUAUUAGAAGAGAAGGUCUCAGAAGCACUAGUCGUAGCCUGUUACACUUGGAAGUAGUUAUGUAUUUACUACUUGAUAGAAAGGAAAGACAGAUUGAGUCAAAAGGAGUCAAAGAAUGAUAGGACUGAGUGGCAACCUAAUAUAUAGGAAAGGUAACUCACAAGCAAGAAUGCACGAAACAAAUCAAUCAAGUACUUAGAGUGAGGGCAGUGUUUCAAGCUAACCUCUAGGAAUCGUAUCAAUGAGCUUGAAGAAUGAGAGAAGAUAUAGGCAGACGGAGGCUUUUCUUCUGACUAUGUGUUGUGGAUUAGCUUAGUCUUCUAGUUCGUCAUCCAAGAAUGAGAUUUAGAUAAGUUACUACUAGAGUGAAAGAAGGGUUGGCGGGAAGUAAAGUGAGACUUAUCGUGUAUGCUGCGUGUACAGACUAGUUCCCUAGGCGGUUAGAUUCAUAGACUUCUUAUAAAGGGGAGUCGUGUGCUAAUCUACCAUAAGUGAAGGGUGAAUUCAGAUUUAGAUGUCCAGGUAUCCGCUUUAAGGUCACAAGUAAGGGCUUGGACUACUUAGUGUGAUUCUAUGGGCGCUUUAACUAUUCGAUUCUAUGUUCUACUACUUUUUCUUAAUCUAUGUGCGCUGGAAUUAUGUAUUAGGGCCUAUGAGUUUACGACCUGUGUUCGACUACCGACAAUACUUGAGCCUAGCUUUAUCUACUACCUAUGAAGCCUGCCACGCCUGCACUCCUAUUAUAACUAACCUAUCAAUCAAUCCGCAUAAAACCUGGCUUUGAAACUGAUACUUAUACUAGUCAGAGUGGAACAGGUACUUCUCAUACUCGAACUAAGAACUAGGGCUCACUUUACGCCUAUUAGUCUAGCUAUCCUUUCUUGCAUUCCGACCCCCUGGGAACUCAAUCUGUUUCCUUUACUAAAAAGAAUGGAGCUGGUGCUUCUCAUCAUGACGCUAGGAACUAAGACUUUCUCUCUAUAUAUUAUAUAUGAAACUGCUGCUCGCACUACUCUAGCUCUAGGUUAAUAAUGAAAUAAAUAAUACCAGGAUACAGGUUCUGCGCUACAAGACCUAUAAUACUGAUCAGAACCAACCUAUAAACUAGGGCAGCGAACGAUGGCUACGGAUAAAGAGAAUAGAACCAAUAAGUCAAAGAAUAGGUACCCGGAUCGGAGGAACUAAACGAAAAACCAGUCAUAAAACAAGUGCUACCAAUGCUUUAACCGGAAACACAGGAUCAUACCAAUAACCAAUAAGAAUGUAAUUGCUGACAACAAUACUUACCUAACUAACGGGGGAUCCACUACUCAAUACAACGAUUGAAACCAAUGAGAAAAACACUGGCGCUCCCGGGGCGUCUCUUGGCCUGUAACUCGUGCCUGCACUUGAACCCUCCGCCCUAAGUCUUAGAGGAUGCACCAUCAGACUCAUAAUAGCAGUGAAAUGUUCUAGUAGUAGACUAAUCGUAGUAAGCAUCAUAAUGGAACUUACCACCCCUACCACCAAUAAACACAUAAACUAUACCUCUAUCCUUACCUCUUGCUCUAGUUCUGUUGCAGCAAUCGGGUCUGUAGCCUAGUAACUGACUUCGGGCAAUCAGUGGGCUAGUUUCAAGAAGUCUUAGUUGCCCGAGUUGGAUGAGCCGGAGGUGUAGUAUUAUAGUAGUAUAGUUUCAUUCAAGUAGUCCUGUUCCAUAGGUACUAGAAAUAUGAGAACAGGCCAUUCUUCUCUAGUCAACUAGCAACAGCAAACUAACAUGAAAGAAGUCAAAGAGCAAGCAAGAGAACAAGUAAGGUCAAAUAGACUAAGUGCGUUAGCGAGCUACACUGAACUCAACCCGCAAGUCAUAAUUCGACUCUCCAAGUUCUAAUUGAAUAUCUCUCUGUCAAUAAUAAGAAUUUAGAUAAGAGUGCCUAUUGCACGGUUCAAUAAUGGAUUGAGUAGUCAGGGGCGUUUCAAUAAUGGAUUGAGUAGUCAGGGGUGCCCCAUCUGAUAUCAUUGUAGUGGUGCUUGAGCCGAGUACGUACUAUUGGAAAGGAAAGGUGCUUGUGUGAAAAGAGCUAUUGAUUCUGUAAAGUUAUAGGUUUGAAAUCACUAAGCUCGAUAAAGAGCAGGAGUUAGAACACCCACCUUUAAAGAGCUCCAAUUCCUUUUCUUUUACUGCUUUAUGCUAGAGGUCAAUAACUCAGUUGGACCUUAUCACCUUUAAAGAGCUCCAAUUCCUUUUCUUUUACUGCUUUAUGCUAGAGGUCGAUAACUCUUCUUUUUGGACCUUAUUUCAUCAUUCAUACAGAGUCUAGUCUGACUGAUUCUCUUGUACUAGCUAAACUACUGUGUUCUUUCUUUUCUCAGGAUUUGAGAGUGUUUCCAUGUAUAUAAGCGCAGCUAAGCACAAUGUUGCCUUUCAAGUUGCCUUAAUGCUUAUAGAUAUUGUUUGUUUCUUAAUGGAUGAUUUCUUGAGAUAUAUGUUGUUUGAUGCCUUAAAUGUUAUGAAUUUGAGUAUGGGGUAGUGACAUGAAAAAGUGUAAUGCUAGGCUCAGGCUUGCUUACAGAAAAAGAACUAUGAAAAAAGCUUGGUUAUACGUGACUUGGCGGAUCGGAAGCAUCAGCUAGAUCGGUUGAGUAAGCCUGAGAAACAAGCAUAGUAAGAAUGAGCACGAGGAGAGUAGUCCAGAGCCAUAACAGUAUUAGUUGCUAUAGGUAUGGUUUCAAUAGGUAUAGGUGUUUCUGAAGUUUCUUUGCCCGGUGUGAUUCUAAUAAAUAUGGGCCAUAUGGAGUCGUAGGUGAAGAUGGGACAUAUUUAGGUGCGGGCUUUUUCUUGCUUGAAAACAGUUUCCGGAUCGUAUAUAUCAAAUAGGGUAUGGAGUUCAGCUCCCAAAGCCCAUGCAUGCGGAAAUAUAUCCUAUUUAACACAAUAUCUUUCUUUUGGAUAAUGAUUGGUCUCAACUCGGGAAUUCGGAAUUCUUAAUUGCUAUUACGAUUGCUCAACUAGUGCUCAAAAGGAAAGGAAACUUCUUUUGUUUAUUUUGGCUUAUGAAACUGCCGUUGAAAAGAAAAAGAGGAGCUCAAACACAAGGCGGAAACAAUCGAUCGAAAAUCCAAUCCCCGUGAAUGGAGUCUGAAGCUGCUGUGACCCUCGUAGGCGUCCCUAAGGCGAUUAGAAUGACCCAUAUCCUGUGGCCUCCUACGACCCUCUUCUGCUCUCCUGCGAAGUAAACCCAGCUUGACUUUCAUUUCAUUUGAAAUAUGAGUAAACCCGAACCUCAGAUCUCACUUUGUUAUCUCCUACUCCUAGUAAGCUGCCUUAGCCCUAUCCUUCCCGCAUCUUGUGUUACCCUUCCGCCCUACCUCUUCCUAAGUCGGCUCACCCCUCGUCCAUACUAUCCCAGUAACAGGUUCCCCCAUCUUACUCGACAGUUUCAUCUCUGCAACCACACAAAGUCAGUUCCCUUUCCCAUCCCCAACAGGCGUACGGAUUCUUUCCCUCCUUCCUCAGGUUCUCCCAUCUCAUUGGGUUGUGUUUCGAGGUGCUCACGGCGUCGGUGCAUGGAAGCCCGAUGCUACAACAAUAGGCUGAUGAAGAUCCAACAACAAUCAAUCCACCCUCUUUUAUGAACUUGACCCGAUUGAAGUCGGCACUGCCCGCGACUCCAGGAGACAGUGUUGUCUUUAUGGAAAAUGUCUAGGUCCUGCUUUUAGACUUCCUUCGAUCCUUCCUCUCCAAACGUUGCGGCUUACCCUCUCUCUGACUUAGACCUAGCGACCGGUUUUCUUCUGCUUAAACUCGGAACCUGAGAUGCUUCAUGUCCUAAUGGAGGGCCCUGGUUCAUCCGAAAGCCCUAUAACCCUUAUAGGAAGCCGAACUUGAAACGCCUCCUUUAUCGAGUUUACAAGGUUCUGAUUUAGGCCCAAUUCCCCGGUCUCCCUUUCUUUUAAUACACCCCGGUAUACUCUGCCAAAUAGCCUCCUGCAUAGGUAAGUUCCUCAAUCAAGAUUCAGUUACCUUGUCUCGCACUCGCGGCAAGUUCGCGCGUGUUUGUAUCUUCUUGGCCAUUUCUUCUCCUCUUCCCCAGGACCUAUGGAUCAAGGAUGGUUCUUCCCCAUUUGAUCAAUUCUAAGGUCGCCGACUAAACCAACUGGAAGCCAAGCCCUUUUUCCAAUUGAAGCCGAGAAUGAUUUGAAGAAGCAUCCGCUGAAACGGAGUAAGGAUCUAAACAAUCCGUAGCCUCCCCUUCCAAGGGCUCUAUAAGGAUAAUAUGCAUGCAAUAGAUUGAUUCCAGUUCCAAUUUGUAUCUAAUUGGUUAUAUUUGCUUCAUCAAGAAUCUUCCCGCUGUCUCCUUAAGUUGUUUAGGAGCACAUUCAAUCCCGCCUCCUCCUCUUUCUGCCUUUCUGUUCCCUUAAUUCAUUCAUUUCUUUAUUCUUAUGUGGCCUAGGCGCGUAGGUAUCUUACAAGCAUUUGCUGCGGCUGCAUUCUAUUCUAUAUUUGUGCUAAACACUUUAUCCCUCUGAAUUAUUAGCUGCUAUUCCAAUGCACUCUUUCUUUUGUCUUACCCUUCCUGCAAUGGUUUUCAGUCCGUGAUCUAUGCAUUCUUUCUGUAAACUCCAGUGGAUAGAGUUCCCCUAUCUCUCCUUAAGUUGAAUCAGUGGCUUCUUCCUCCAUACAAUUCUCGGUAUUAACAAGGCAUGUGUGAGUUGGCACACUCAGUAAUAUGUAGUAAUCUCCUCAUCGUCUGACUCUUUGUACUAUAUCUCUUUUCUUUUGAUAGGGACUUUUCUCUGUUUAAGGGUAUUUGGAUUUACGGCUCUCAUCCCGGCACUCUCUCUAUUGGGGAAUUUCUGGAACAAGAGCUCUCAUUACGCAAGCAAUCUAUGCUUCACCUUAUGUUCUGGCUCCCCUGCUCCUUUCUUCUUAUGAUUGACUUCCUUUCCUUGGCCUGGCCCCCGGGGAUAUCUUUUUCCACUCGUUUUUCUGCAGUCUUUUCCGAGGGGAUUUCGUUUGGCUUUGCUUUGGGCAUUCUUCUUUUCUUCUUUAUAUGUGAAUAUCUUCUUUUGCAUCUCCAUCCAAUUAUGGAACUUUGUGUUGCUGUUAAAGGGUUAGCCCGUUGUAAUCCAGCUCCUCUCAACCCGUUACUUGGCUCUAAGAAAGGUGAAGUUCCUCUAUGGGUAAAGCCGCACUCGUCUCUGGUGUAUAGAUAUGGGAAGUCGUUGGCCUCACAUACAUCUUUCGGAUUAGUGAAAAGAGAACUAUAAGGUGGUAUAUUUAAGAACGGUUCAUUUCAAAGAACAAACAAAGGGGGUAAGACUAAAGGUUCAUUUCAAAGAACAAAGGGUAAGGCUAAAGGUUCAUUUGGUCGAAUCGAAAGGAAAAGAUGAUUAUGUGUGUGAUAUUUCUCGAUGGAACCGGGUCCCGACCGUCUUUCUAUUCUUCAAGGAAAGUAGCACUCACUCGAGAAUCCAAAAGGAAAUCUCCGUGUCAAGUUGCCAACAUAGAGAAUCUCUCUGAAUCCUAUUAUAGAACUAUAAGAGUGAUGACUCCCUAACGGGCAAGAGAUUCAUUAUCGGAUCAUUCCUUUCCCUAACGGGCAAGAGAUUCAUUAUCGGAUCAUUCCUUUCCCUAACGGGCAAGAGAUUCAUUAUCGGAUCAUUCCUUCCAGUUCGUUCAAAAGCCGGCACGGCACCCCGAAAUAAAGGCUUCGGCUGCUGCUCAGAACGAAUGAAUCAUUAUAUGUGGUGGGCGUAUAUGUGAUUAAAGCCAGCAUCACAAUGGCAAAUGCAAUCUUUUAGCUUAUGUAUGUGAAUCGCACGAGGCUUCCGCUCCUCAGAACGAUAGAAAUUCCAGGUGGGGCAACUCGUUCAGCCGCCUUCAACAGAGACUCUUCCUCUCCUUUAGGAUCCUCUAACGGGGGAAGCUGACAAUUCUGGAUCUUUGGGUAAAGCCGGGCUGAUCCAAGUUUUGCAUCCUGCUGAAUGGUUUUUCCUUAUUACUGGCGGGAAAGAAUGUGUGUGCCCCAACAGAAGAUAGGCUGAUUGAAUCAACGGAACCCAGAAUCAGAGUAUAGCCCGAGCUUAAACUCACUCGGUCAAGGAGAUACAGCAAAAACAAAGCAAUACCUUCACUAUUCCUUAUCAUCAUCGAUUUACGGGAAUCUUCAUGAUUGCAAAGCUCUUCCGAGACCCUAUACCUUCCGAUGCAGGGAAACAAAGGCUCUAGCUUCUGGCCCAAUAGGGGGGCGUCGGGUCUAACAACAGAAGCGGAUUCAAGUAUUCUUAAAGAGUAGCAAAGAGAAAAACAGAGAGAAAGAGUAGGGAAUCACGACUGGUAUCGAAUCCAGAAAGAGAUGAGCAGGAGGCUAGAAAUGGCAGCAUUAGCGUCAGGGUCACAUUCAACGCGCAAUGACUAACGCUAAAGUCAGUAAAGUAAGCGUAAGCGUCCCGGAACAUUGAUUACUUGUUCAUUGAUUACUUGUUCAUUGCUUGCUUGUUCAUUGCUUGCUUGUUCAUUGCUUGUUUGUUUGCUUAUUUACUUGUUUGCUUGUUCCGUUGUGCGUUGAGCCAGCCGUAAACAGCCCUUUCAAUACUUUCUCCGCUGGCUUUGUCUCUGCUCUACGAAACUUAUUUGUUAUUUCAAAGUCGGGUGCUCUGAGACAGUAUUCUUUGUUCUUUGUGGAACUUCAACUCGAGGAACUCCCCCCUUUAUUUAGCCAGUCGAGAAUCAAUCCAGAAUGGAAUUAGCCGUAUGGAUUGCCCAGACUUCUUAAUGGUUGCUCAAGCAGUAGAUGAAGAGCAGAGCAGGGUCAAUGGACUGGUUAACUUAGUGUUCUUCGAAAAAGGAGGCCGGGGUCAACGAGAAAAGUGGCUUUUGUCCCAUGAUAUAAGACAAGGAUUCUGUUUCCUGGUACGGUCGGGUUGCUCAAAACAAGGAUUCUGUUUCCUGGUACGGCCCGUUAAGCUCUAAAGGAUAGAGUGUGUGCUACCCCAAGCGAGUGAGUGAAAGGCGUGGUAACUGAACUGCUUAUAUACACCACCCAUAGAUGAUGAUGAUAUAAUAUUGUAUGGGGUAGGUUCAUAACUUUGCUGAGAGUAGGAAGGUGCAUAUCUUUGCUGAGAGUAGGAAGGUGCAUAUCUUUGCUGUGCUUGCUGAGAAAGGGAUUCAUUGGAUCAUCAGAAAUGCAAAGGAAGUCAAAGUAUUGCUGCUGCUCUGUUCUCUGAGAGUUGAACACUUACCGCCCCAUUCCGAAAGGUAACGGGACCGGGACCGGCCAUUAGGGGGCUAGGGCAGCCUUUUCAUUAAUAUAGUGCAAUGAUUCUCUCAAAAGAUAGAAAUACUCGUUUAGCCGAGGACUUCCAAACACGUCGUCGUCGUAAGCUAAACCCGUACUGAAGGGCACAUAAGUGGUCGGGAAAAUCAGGGAAGUCAUUCGCGGAGCCUCUGUCCGGCCGAUCAUUCCGCUGGCAUCUUGCAUUCACGCCUCCGUUUGACUUUUGAGCAUCCUUUACUUUGGGAGAACUUAGUAAACAGGGAACUACUGCUCUCAUCUCUUUCUCUUGGACCACGCCCUUAUGUCUCCACGUGUGGCAGCUGUUCAAACAUACAUAUCAUUGCUCUCCUCCUUUUGAGAACUCUCCUACUUUUAUUGCUCCUCUCUGCUAACUUCAUUCGUAUUUCUGACUCUGACUCUAAGGGAUCUUUCUGACGAACUACUUUACUUACAACUAAGCUUGCCGGGGGAACUCGCAGCCGCUUGAACAAAGGACUUGCGCUAACAGAACCAGUAAGUGAACCAGCAAGUAGGAAGGAAAGGAAGUGUCAAAUCUGCAAUUCUAUACAAUUACUAAGCGGUCUGAAACUCCUACUAUUACUUAGAAUAAGGGAUAACUAGUCCUACUGUUGCUCACAAGAACGAAACUUUCCACUGAACCUCGAACUACACUUUAAUAACUUACCUCGAAUGAAACUAGAGCAUCAACACAGGAAACGACUCACUUUUCACAGUCAUAUUAAUAUUAAGCCUAAUGCGGGUUUCAAGUAAUAGGGAAGGUUGCUAAGGUGAAGAAGCCUAGUAGCAGCAGUAGGAGCAGAGAGUAAAGUGAAGUUAAGGAAAGGAUCUGAACUCAUUAAGUCUAGGAAUUCAAUAAGUGGGCGAGAUCUUACUAAACAAGCUCCUAUAUUUAGAUAAGAUAUAAUUUCUAUGGGUUGGUUUGGGUAGCGGAACACCAACAGCAUCAGAAGGAAAUCGGGCGAAAGUGUGCAGCAGCAGUGAAUUGGUCUGUUCUCAAGUAAGGAAAGGCUGUUUCAUUAUUUGUUUAACUUGACUCUAAGCUCCAAAGAAAGAAUACGGGUUGACUGAAGGAAGCUAUAAGUAUUCCCAGGCCAAAUCAAUCGUUCCAGUUUAUUUAGUAGAAAAUAGGUACAUUAGAUGGAGAUUCCAUUGCAAAGGGAGUUGUUGAAGUUUACAGUUCCAGUUUCAUCGUAUAUAGAAGCCGAAGAUCGUCUAGUAUGGGGCGCCGAGAGAAUCAUAAGUUGUUAGAGUUUUGUCCACGAGAUCAGAUGCUGUUCGAGUUAAGUCUACAAGAUCUGAUGCCACUGUCUAAUAGAAAAAGUAAUAAAGAAGAGAGGUAGGGCGCAGGUCAAAGGUAGAGGUCAGCUGCACUUCCUGUCCUGUUUUCGCCUAUAGCAAGUCACGUUUUUGGUAUCUGUAUCUAAAUCUAUACGCUGUUGUUUGGAGAUGAGUAUUUGAAGUCUGUAUCGGUACAUUACAUUAGUAUAGUAUAAGAGUACAAAAUUCCAACCCUACGUUCUAUCCGUACGAGUACAAAGUAAUCAAAAUCAGAAGAGAGUAAGAGAGAGUGAGAUAAGAAGCGAGGGUAUAUAUAACAACCUAGUAAUCAAUAAAAGCCAGAGGCGAGAAGCAGUUCUUGUUAAGUCAACUCGAGAAGAAGAGCCACAAGAAUCAGACUCCGUGUAGAAAGAUCAGAAUACGGAGCAGUUCGAAGAGAAUCAGCAAGUGAAGAAGCUGUUUCAACAAGAUCAGAAGCAUCUGCAGGGUUCAGGGCAGGUUAAGGGGCCCCGAAUCAAUGAAUUCUUCAGACAGGACAGGGACAGGUCAAGUAUCAAGUGUAGUUCCAGCGGAAUCUUAAGCCAUUCAGUAUAAGGGUCUUCAUCGGUGUCAGUGGAUGAUUGGAAUGAUUAGUUUCAAGUAAACAGUGACUUCUCGGCGCCAAGACAAGACCGGAACCAUCCUUUCUGAAUUGACAACACUAGAGCAAGAAAGAAGAGAAGGUAUAAAAUCAAUUGAGUUAGAUUAGCCUCAUUCAGUUAGCAGAGAGGAGUUGAAUCCCCAGUUUCUUAAGGGUGGGGGAGAAGGAUCACUCGCACUAACGAGCAGAAAAAGAACUCCAGUAUUGGAGCCUAUACAAAGGGGAAGGGCAGAUCCAGAUGUUCUUGUUAUUAAGGUAGAAUACCACUCCGACAAGACACUAAUAAUGUGGCGCUAAAGUUGUUAUUCUUUGCUAUCAGGCAAGCAUAUACAAAUUUGGUACUUCGCUUUUCUCAAAUACAUACUUAUUACUUGGAGUUAUAAAUGACAGUUUGACCGUUAUAUAAGUUUUGGCAAGACGUCGUGUAUCAGCUAAAACGUCAGUUCAAUUUCAAUGAUCUUCUGAUUCUGUGCUAGACUAGAAAGAAUGAAUUCAGGGGUAUUUAUUGACUGAAGCAUUAAGUAUUACCAGUCCCAACAUAAGUAAGCAUCAGGAACAAUAACAAGAUCUUGAGUACGAAAGAUCUGGAGUACGAUCAAGCCCGCCAAGUCACUUGUCUGCUUGUCUGCUUGGAGGAAAGGAGACGAGAUCAGAUGCUAGAGAAGGAUCCACUGAAUUAGCAGAAGAAAAGAAGUAAGCUAAGUAAAGUAAGUACCAUAUUCCUUAAGUAAAGUCAGUAAAUACCUUAAGUCCUUGUAAGUACAUAUUCAUUAAAUAAUGAAGUGGGUGGAGUCACUAACUGUGCCGAUAUUUUGGAUUCAAGCUUCAAGUCAGAGCAGAGCAAGAGGUCUUAUAUAGGAGAGGAGCAAGAGUUCAACCAAAACAGCCCUUUUUCCUUUACUUGCUCAUGCAUAAGCGCGUGGUGGAGUACUCUAUUCGAUAUUGCCUUACAAACAAAUAAGAAAGAGCCCGGUAAUAGGUCCUGUCCGUGUUCUGUCCCAUCAGCUUGCUUCUUGCGAGAUGAAUAGCUUUACCAUGCUUGGUUGGAUAUGAGUAGUUAUCUUCAAUCGAUUGUUUAAGGCUAAAGCUGGAAUGACUUCGGCCGUGGCACGAUAAUAAGAGCGUAGUCUAUUUGAUACUUAAAUAAUGUCAUAAUCAAGGAGAUGUGCAAAUAUAAUGAAGGGAGAUUAUAAGUAAGAGAGUCCUAGCCCGAAUGAAGGGAGAUUAUAAGUAAGAGAGUCCUAGCCCGAAUCCUGUCAUUAGUUAUUCAUUAGUAGAGUAAGCUAUCGCACCGGAUAUAGAUAUCAAGUCCAAAGCAUAGGGAUUAACCCAGUGGAUUCUCUCGCCUCUUGCUUGCUCUUAUUGAUGACUAUGUUUGUUCUUUUAUUUAAUGAUUAUUUGAUUGUAUUCAGUUAUUGAUUACUUACUUCCAUUAGGCCUCGCCUCUAUGUUUUAUUACUUGCUUAUCCUCUCCUGUUACUAAAAUAUAUAUACAAGGCUUGAGUAACUAUAAUCAUUCCAUUCAUUAAUGAAACUCUACGUUAGCACAGAGGAAAACAAAGAAAAAUCAUAUCUAUCUACCGCCAACAAAGAAAAGGAAUAUCUAUCUACCACCAAUAACUUAUCAUUAAGAAAUUCUAUAUAGUAUAGCCUCUCCCUUGUUCUUCUUCUCGAGUCGAUAGUAUAGCCUCUCCCUUGUUCUUCUUCUCGCGUCGAUGUCGACUUGACUUCUUCUGCAACAGAUCUUUAUUCCACUCCUGAUCAAGCAUCUAAUCUGGAAAUUGCUUCAUCUGGUCAUUCGGCAUCCAUAAAGGAUUAUCUUGGCAAAGCUACCGUAACAGAACUCCACGACAACACUGUCAUGUAAACCAUACUCAAACCUACGAGCUACUUCGGGACAAUGACUUCAUAGACUUCGAGCUAAAGCAGGACUCUCCGUUUCUUCUGGUCGACAACACGGAUCAAAGUAAACUUGAAGUUCAGCUGACCCUAACACCUUAGCAGUAUGGAUUCGGCUUGCCUCCUUUCUUUACUUAACUGGAACACAAAGAGAUGAUACACAAGGAGCGUAAGCCUUAGACACAAGCAUAAGAAUCACCUACUUCAGAUUCCACUAAAGAUAGACGACCUGUUCCUAGGUGCACCAUCCUCUAUUCAACAAGCAGUGAGAUUAGCUAGAACAGGAUUAGAAACACAGGAUUCAAUUAUCAAAGCGAGUGAAGAAACAAACUAACAAACAAGUCCAACAAGAACUAACGAACAAGCAAAGAGAAAAGUCAAUAAAAGAAGGGAUAGCUACCUAUCAUUACCUAAACUUCUAUAUAAUGUAAGUGAAACAAGAACUGGAAUUGCUUAGGAUGAAACAAGAACAGAGCUUGCAGAUGCAGACUAAGUGAUAACUCCCCUUGAACACAAAACAGAAUUCACCCUCAAACACUUGCUCACUCUCUGACUCCUGUCCUGACUCGUUGCUAUAACACUGCUUCCUCUCUCUAAGACUUUCACUCUACUAUCUGAAACAGCUUUGCACUUAACCGCCGAUACUUGAUUCUUUUCUAAAGCUAAAGUGAUUGGCACCGGGCAAGAAUCUCUAUAGUAUGUAUAAGUGGAAUACUAGGUAUGGUUGCUGGCUGCGGGUAACUAACCUACCCGAGUGCUUCUAAAGCCCAUUAUUAUAUGUAGUAAUUCCAUUCUAUUCAAUGGAGUCCUAAUUUCUAGCGUCAGUAAGAAGUCUUUGUCUCCUAUAACGCUAGGCUUGAGUUAGCGCAACGGCCGAGCUCAACUCUACUUCAAUACUUAGUGAGGUUCGAAGCUAUGCUCUGUGUUUUUCAUAUUCCUCACUAUCAGAGGCGGACUAAGCACUUGCAGAAGCAUCAGAUCAGAUAAUAUAAGAUUGCCUAAGUCGUAAUGAAGAUUGCUUGUUCUCUCCAUCUCGAAGUUCAACAUUCCAAUCAGCAGGAGCAGGAAAAGAUGGAUGUGUCCUGUUUUCGGGAGCAAGAGAAGCAACCAGGCUAACGUAGGUAUAGAUAUGUGAAGAGCAAGUAUCGUUUUCUCCCGUUAGUGAGUUCUGGGGAGUAAGGAGUGUUUUUUUAAGCAAAAGGUCAGCAAUGCGGUUUACUAUUUUCUAUAUAAUGCAGCAAGAGAAGAUUCUAUGAGUGGAACAAGUAAGGGUGAACUACCGUAGUUCUGUUAGUUGGGGGCGCUAGUCGGUUUAGAGUUUGUUGCGCAUGUAGGUUAGGAAGAAAUAGAAACUUAUCUCACCGGUCAAAGAAGUCUCAGCCAAGUAACUUAGCAACUACAUUUCCGACUCCUGUUACUGUUCCUGUUUGUAGUGACUUGGCGCCUGCUUGGCGGAGUUGGAGCGGAGGGCUUACGUGAGUCUGCAUUAAGUAAAUAGGGUCUGCUCGACGAAAACUAUCCUUAGAAUGAAUUGAUUCCUAACAUCUUUCUGGCUCACUUGCGGGUUCCGUUGCUUAUACCGCUGAUGCUUAUUAUCCCGAUACUGCUUCUUUGACCUUCGUUUUUGCAACAAUAAAUGAUGUGAUGGUUGGUUACCUUUUCCUAUCAUACAGAGCGGGGAACAACAAGAAUUCUUUAUCUUACUGAAUUUAGAUAGUGGGGCGUUAGCAUAGAAUGUUUGUAACCUGACUGUUCACCUUUUGCACUUAGUGAAUUAAAGCCAGCUAAGGCGGGAAAGAAAGAGGGGCUCUGGUAAGAAUAAAGUAUCUAGUAGCUCAUAGUAGGUUAAGGUAAAAGAAAAGGUAUGGUGUAAGGUCUAUGUUAGGGAAGGGAGUAUAUAUUUCCAUUAAUGUUUGAGUGGAAAGGAAAACUCUGAAUGAAAGAAAGGAACUCACCUGCCCAUAAAUAAGGAAUGAAAGAGCUAACUAACGUUGACGCUGACCCUGACCCUUUACCACUGAGUCCUGUGUUCGUCCACUAGAACAGGAAUUCGACUUGAAGAACCCGCUUGCUUAGACUUCGACUCAUGAACUGCUCCUGUUUCUUCUGUUGAAACAGCUCCCGCUUCCGAUUCCUCUUCUAAUCUAUCUGAGGCUGAUGAUCCAACAAGCACGUUCGAGGGGGACUUCCACUCUCACUCCAAGAACUACUUACAGCUGACUCACAGCUAACCGUUACGUCGGCCAACACUUAUUCUUCUCCCGCUUCGGCUGAGGCUUCUUCUGUGUCAAAGACUUCGACUCUUCCUACUACACCAGGUGCUUUUCCAUCAGCCUCUCGCUUUUGCUCGAGCUCGAGUUGGGAUCUCCCUUUUGACUUAACUACAGAAAAGGGUGGCUGGCAGCAUAAUACACCCAAUGGAAAGACUCCCGCUAAUAGAAAAAGGAUCUGCGGAUGAGAACGAGAGCAGUACCGAUAGCACCCUUCCUGUUCCCUUGACUAGUGAGGGUAGCCAUCACCAGGGCCGAUGAUCCAACCCUAUACGGAGAUGCCCUGAUGAUGAUGGGCGUGAUCCAUAGCCGAUGUUGGCUGGAAGCAGUAUCCGUUGAAGCUAUUCCGCACCCCUUCGAGUAUCAGAUCGAUAUGUUAUUCGAUAUCUUCCAGCUUCUUGUUCAUCAAGUACCAGUACGGAAUCAGAUCAAGCAUCCGGGGCUUAAUCGGGCUCAUAAUGGGAAGAGGACCAGUUAUAUCAGCUUCGACGUCCCUGACGUCAGUACCAAAGAUGAGUAACAUCCUAACAAAGUAGCUAGUAGUUCCAGAAUCCACCCUUUGGGAAGAAUCAUCAACUCGGGGACGAAUCUCAAGAAUCAGAUCAAGUCGAUAGUCCAGUAAUGGAAUGAGUCUAUAGUAAGGGUUGUGCUUUCGACUAGUUUACGUCAAAUGCCUAGAAGAAUUCUGCUCUUAUAUAGUAAAGACUCAGAGAAUGCAUCGGAAGAAGAAGUUCAAGCAUAAAGUAAGGAUACGGAAUAUCAAAUAGAGAGUAAUCCCACAAAAGGGGCGGACUCAACAGACUCAGGGGUGCUACUAGAGAAAUAAAUGAAUGAAUUUUCCGGAAUCGUCUUGUCUUCUUUCAAAGCAGCAAAGGAAGUGCAAUAACCCAUUCUUAUGCAAAGAAAGGCUAAGUCAAAGAAGAGUUGGUUCGGUAUCGAACCGAAAUCCAUGGUAAAACCCAUCACUGGCCGAGUGCCUCUAAAACCUUGAACUUAGCCAACCCGGAAGGCAAGACAUCUCGCAUCUCUCUCUAUUAAGGCAAGUGGUUCCUCAAACGUUAGUUCUUUUUAGUAGUUAGGACACAGUCAAAAGCAAGUCGACAUGAUCCUCCUUUGACUUCCUAUACGACGGUAGAGGGCCAUUGAGGAAUAAUGUCUCAGAAUAUUACCUGGUGGCGAGAGUCGUCAAAGCAUCAUGAGAAGACUCUAUUCCUUUCCUUUCCCUACGACCCGGAGUGAGCAGUGAAGAUCGAUCAGUUACCCGAGCCUCUAUUUAUGCCGGGCCACAGGAGGACUUAUGUCUUUGACUCCAAUGUAAGCUCAGAGGAACUAGGGAAUAAAAGAAUAUAAGAAAGAAUAGAACUCGCAUUCAUUCAUUUAGAUAUAAGAAAGAAAAGUCACCUAACUCAACAAUACCUCUCGGGGGGCGAGAAUGAUUCGAGCCGUAUGAGGAGAAAGGCCUCCUAUAGUUUAUGGGGGAGGAUUGAUUCUUUACAUCUAUACCAGUUUCUGGGGGAGCAUUGUUUCUUUACAUCUAUACCAAUGAGCCAUCUAUGGAAUGGUUUCAAUUGAUGUUCGAUCCCGAGGAUAAGGGGGAGAUCUUUGAAAAGUGGGUUUUGAUGAUCCGAUAAAGAAGAAAACGGAUUCAAACGUUCCCGCUAUUCUAUAUUUCCUUGAAAAGGGCGCUCAACCUACAGGAACAGUUUCUUACAUUUGUCAAAGUCAGUAUUAAUUUGAUUUCAAGAAAAACCAUUCAUAAAAUAUAGGGAUCUAAUAAUAAUCUCAAUAAAUCUUUGUAUUCUUCUUGACUAACUCUGAAGAAAGUCAAUUCACACCUUACUGAACUUAUAAUGUACACAAAUAGAAUGGAAUGGAAAAUGGAAUGGAAUAAGAACAGCUGCUCGAGUCGACAUCGAGACGUUACUAGCCCUAAAAGAGAUGAUAGUUGACACCUUGCCUUACUUAGUCCUUGCCUUACUUCUAAUUACAUUUUAUAGAAUUCUGUAACCUCACACCUUACUCUCUGAAAUUGAUUCGAGACUUGAUCCCAUCAGAAUCUAGUAACCACAGGAUGAUCCCAAUCUCCUUCUUUUAGUACAAU
rnacentral:lncRNA from 1 species